rnacentral:rRNA from 1 species
UUUCCGUAGGUGAACCUGCGGAAGGAUCAUUGUCGAAACCUGCAAGGCAGAAUGACCAGCGAAUCGGUGAAAUACAAAAUGCGGGGACGGCCCUCCAGGCUUGUUGCCCGAAGUCCCGGUGAGGGAUGUUGGGGGAAACUCCACGGCCUCUAUUGUGGAUGCAAACAACAAACACCCGGCGCAAAUUGCGCCAAGGAAUCGGAGAGAAGAUGCGUGCUCCCCUUGUCCCAGAAACGGUGCCCAUGGGGGUCGCGUUGUCGUCAUUACCAAUAUUUGAACGACUCUCGGCAACGGAUAUCUCGGCUCUCGCAUCGAUGAAGAACGUAGCGAAAUGCGAUACUUGGUGUGAAUUGCAGAAUCCCGUGAACCAUCGAGUUUUUGAACGCAAGUUGCGCCCUAAGCCGUCAGGCCGAGGGCACGCUUGCCUGGGUGUCACGCAAUGUCGCUAAAUAUGCCCUCGCUCCUUCCAUCGGGGAACAAAUGAGGGCUGGCGGAUAUUGGCCUCCCGUGCGCGGCCUUGUUCGCGGUUGGCCCGAAGGAAUGCCCCCCCGACGCGGCAGCCACGACACACGGUGGUUGGCAGCAUACGCUCCUCGAACACCGUCGUGCGCGAGCUUCGUCGACUGGGAGCCAAAGACCCCGUCUUGAAGCGACCCCAGGUCAGGCGGGAACACCCGCUGAGUUUA